rnacentral:rRNA from 1 species
UACGUAGGGACCGAGCGUUGUCCGGAAUCAUUGGGCGUAAAGAGCGUGUAGGCGGCUUGCUAAGUCUUGCGUGAAAUCUCGGGGCUCAACCCCGAGCGGUCGUGGGAAACUGGCAGGCUAGAGUGCGGGAGAGGAGAAUGGAAUUCCUGGUGUAGCGGUGAAAUGCGCAGAUAUCAGGAAGAACACCCGUGGCGAAGGCGGUUCUCUGGAACGCAACUGACGCUGAGACGCGAAAGCGUGGGAGCAAACAGG